rnacentral:tRNA from 1 species
GCCUGGCUGGCUCAGUUGGUAGAGCAUGCGACUCUUAAUCAUGGAGUCAUGAGUUUGAGCCCCAUGUUGGGCA